ACACGACUACAUUAGAUACCCCCGUAGUCCCAGCCCUAGACGAUGCGCGUUAGGUGUAUCGGUGACCACGAGUCACCGAGGUGCCGAAGGGAAACCGUGAAACGUGCCGCCUGGGAAGUACGGUCGCAAGGCUGAAACUUAAAGGAAUUGGCGGGGAGCACCACAACGGGUGGAGCCUGCGGUUUAAUUGGACUCAACGCCGGGAAGCUCACCGGAUAAGACAGCGGAAUGAUUGCCGGGCUGAAGACCCUGCAUGACCAGCUG
rnacentral:rRNA from 1 species